rnacentral:rRNA from 1 species
UUGAACGCUGGCGGAAUGCUUUACACAUGCAAGUCGAGCGGCAGCGCGGGGGCAACCCUGGCGGCGAGCGGCGAACGGGUGAGUAAUACAUCGGAACGUACCCAGUUGUGGGGGAUAGCCCGGCGAAAGCCGGAUUAAUACCGCAUAGGUCCUGAGGGAGAAAGCGGGGGACCGUAAGGCCUCGCGCGAUUGGAGCGGCCGAUGUUCGAUUAGCUAGUUGGUGGGGUAAAGGCCUACCAAGGCGACGAUCGAUAGCUGGUCUGAGAGGAUGAUCAGCCACACUGGAACUGAGACACGGUCCAGACUCCUACGGGAGGCAGCAGUGGGGAAUUUUGGACAAUGGGGGAAACCCUGAUCCAGCCAUUCCGCGUGAGUGAAGAAGGCCUUCGGGUUGUAAAGCUCUUUCAGGAGGGAAGAAACGGUUACGGAUAAUACCUGUGACUAAUGACGGUACCUUCAGAAGAAGCACCGGCUAACUACGU